ACGGAAGGCAGCAGUGAGGAAUAUUGGUCAGUGGGCGGAAGCCUGAACCAGCCAAGUCGCGUGAAGGAUGAAGGUAUUAUGUAUUGUAAACUUCUUUAGACGUAGAGAAAUAAGCCCCUCGUGAGGGGUGAUGCUAGUAUACGUAGAAUAAGGAUCGGCUAACUCCGUGCCAGCAGCCGCGGUAAUACGGAGGAUGCGAGCGUUAUCCGGAUUUAUUGGGUUUAAAGGGAGCGUAGGCGGGCUGUUGAGUCAGCGGUUAAAUGUCAGUGCCCAACAUUGGCAUGCCGUUGAUACUGGCGGCCUUGAAUGCACACAAGGAAGGUGGAAUUCGUCGUGUAGCGGUGAAAUGCUUAGAUAUGACGAAGAACUCCGAUUGCGAAGGCAGCCUUCUGGGGUGCCAUUGACGCUGAGGCUCGAAAGUGCGGGAAUCAAACAGGAUUAGAUACCCUGGUA
rnacentral:rRNA from 1 species